rnacentral:lncRNA from 1 species
AGGUUCUCUGGAGCACAAGUGUAACUUGGUGCCACCACCUUUCUCCUGCAGUUUGUCUACCUACUCUGCUAACCAGCAGCAAGUUUAUCCUUGCAAGGCAUGUGGGAUCAAGAAUAACUUUCACCAGGAAAAAGUGCAAGACGAGUGGUUGAACAAAAUAAAAUUGUUUGUGUGUUGUAAAGAACUUGA